CGCACCUCGAAAUCCCGAAGGCCAACUUCAACAGGGGUGCGCUCGCUUUGCCCCGGAGCCCUAGCAAGGGGCCCUAGGUGCGGGGAGGACACGGAAAUGGUGUUCGCCUCCGCCUUCUGACCUCUUAGCCCCUCACCUCCUACAGGGAGAGGGGCAGAGAUGAAACCGUUGGUCUCGCUAAAUUGCCCAGGCUGAACUCCAAUUUGCCAUCCUCCUGCCUCUGCCUCCCAGUAGCCUGGGAAUACAAGCGUGUGCCAGCACGCUGGUACUGCGAACGACUCCAUUGGGAGAAGGCUCCAGAACCCCAUCUUUCCUCUCCUGUCCUCACCGGCCUCGUCCAGCGUCCGCCCUCCCCCAUACUUCCUUCCUCUUUCCGCCUGGGGCGAAAGCAGAAGUGUCCGAAAGCGCAAAGGAACUGCGGGGGAGCUUGGGGUUCCCGCGCGCGGAGAGAGGGCUGCCGGGCGCCCGCGGGCCCGCCAGGGGGCGCUGCGGGGCGGACGUGCGCUUAGCUGCUCAGACCCGGACUCUCCCGCGGAUCCUCGCAGAAAGCCCAGGACAGCGACGCAGUUGUUGGAGGGAAGAGCAGGAAACCCAGCCGUCCCUUCAGUCAGCACCAGCUGCUCCAGGCGAGAUCUUUGCCCUGCAUCCUGCGUGCAGAAAUGCAAAAGACCGGCGGGCAUGUUGGCGCACGCCUGUACUCCCAGCACUCUGGGAGGCUGAGGCAGAAGAAUUGUAAAUUGAGGUCCAGCCCAGCAACUUAGUGAGACUGUGUCUUAAGUUUUUAAAAUAACGAAAGAGCUGAGGAGAAAGACAGAGACGGAGGGAGUAACCGUGGAUACCCUUUGCUCCAAAUGCCCCAGGCUGAGGCUCAGGCGGCGCCUCAAAGUCGGGCUCAGGAUUUAGGACUGGAGCCAGCCUGCGGGAUCCGGCUCCAGCCCCAUCAUUUCCAGCUCU